AUGGUGCCCAGCGGGCUCUUCGGCUGGGCUUCGCCGCACGUGCAGCCGCUCACGCCGGUGUCCGAGGUCUCGGAGCCGCCGGAGUCCCCGUCGCCGUACGGGGACGGGCCGUCGGGGGAUGCUGGCGUCGGGGUCAGGGAGGGGGAAGGCGCCGACGACGAAGAUGUGGAGGAGGACGAGGUCGAGCCCCCUCCCGCCGCGGUCUCCUUCUGGAGGCUGUUCGAGUUCGCCGACGGCCUCGACUGGGCGCUCAUGGCCGCUGGCGCGCUCGCCGCCGCCGCCCACGGCGCCGCACUCGUCGUCUACCUGCACUACUUUGGGAGGUCCUUGAAUUUGCUCGACUCUGAACGGAUUCAGUCUGCUCUCCACGGCCGUAGCGACGAGCUGCUCAACCAAUUCAAGCAGCAUGCUCUGUAUAUCAUCUACAUAGCUGCUGGUGUUUUUGUCGCGGGAUGGAUAGAGGUAUCAUGCUGGAUUCUCACCGGGGAACGACAAACUGCUGUCAUCAGAUCAAGAUAUGUCCAGGUCUUGCUAAAUCAAGACAUGAGCUUCUUUGAUACAUAUGGAAACAACGGUGAUAUAGUUAGUCAAGUUCUUAGUGACGUAUUGCUGAUUCAGUCAGCAAUUAGUGAGAAAGUAGGCAACUACAUACACAAUAUGGCCACAUUCGUCGGUGGUCUCAUUGUUGGGCUGCUCAAUUGUUGGCAAAUAGCACUUCUAACUCUUGCCACUGGACCCUUGAUUGUCGCUGCAGGAGGAAUAUCUAACAUAUUUCUCCAUAGACUGGCUGAAAACAUUCAAGAUGCAUAUGCCGAAGCGGCUAGUAUUGCUGAACAGGCUACCUCAUACAUCAGGACACUAUAUGCUUUUACGAAUGAAACUCUUGCAAAGUACUCCUAUGCUACCUCACUUCAAGCAACUCUAAGAUAUGGAAUUUUGAUAAGUCUUGUCCAAGGAAUUGGCCUUGGGUUUACCUACGGACUGGCCAUCUGUUCCUGUGCUUUGCAACUCUGGGUUGGAAGACACCUAAUUUCUCGUGGGAAAGCUGAUGGUGGUCAAGUUGUGGUAGCUUUAUUUGCAGUAAUUUUGAGUGGCCUUGGUCUGAACCAAGCAGCUACAAACUUCUAUUCAUUUGAGCAAGGGCGAAUUGCUGCUUAUAGACUAUAUGAGAUGAUAAGUCGUUCAACUUCAAGCACCAACCUGGAAGGGACCACUAUACCCCAAGUGCAGGGGAACAUCGAAUUCAGAAACGUGUACUUCAGUUAUCUCUCACGUCCUGAAAUUCCAAUUUUAAGCGGUUUCUUUCUCAGUGUACCAGCCAGAAAAACUGUUGCACUUGUUGGUAGAAAUGGCUCAGGGAAAAGCAGCAUAAUUCCUUUAAUGGAGAGGUUCUACGAUCCAACGUUAGGGGAAGUCCUGCUGGAUGGGGAAAAUAUCAAGAAUUUGAAAGUAGAAUGGUUAAGAAGCCAAAUUGGUCUGGUUACACAAGAACCUGCACUGCUGAGUUUGAGCAUCCGCGAAAACAUUGCUUAUGGAAGAUUUGCUACCUUUGAUCAGAUAGAAGAAGCAGCCAAGACAGCACAUGCUCAUGGGUUCAUCAGUUCACUCGAAAAGGGAUAUGAAACACAGGUUGGUCGAGCUGGUAUGGCGUUGACUGAUGAACAGAAGAUCAAAAUUUCCAUCGCUCGUGCUGUGCUUUCGAGUCCAUCAAUUCUCUUACUUGACGAAGUCACGGGAGGACUUGAUUUUGAAGCUGAAAAGGCUGUGCAAGGAGCAUUAGAUGUUCUCAUGCUGGGAAGGUCGACCAUUAUAAUAGCUAGGCGCCUUAGCCUCAUUAAACACGCUGAUUACAUAGCUGUAAUGGAGGAGGGACAUCUUGUUGAAAUGGGGACACAUGAUGAAUUGCUAAACUUGGAUGGCCUUUAUGCUGAGCUUUUGAGAUGCGAGGAAGCAACAAAACUUCCUAAGAGGAUGCCCACCAAGAAUAGCAGGGAACGCAAGUCACUCCAAUUUGAGGAUCCACCGAUCAGCCAAAAUUUUCAAGAAUCAUCCUCUCCUAAGAUGGCAAAAUCACCUUCUCUUCAAAGAACACAUGGCAUGCUUCAAUUUUGGCGAUCAGACACCACCAGAAAUUCCCAUGAUUCACCAAAGGAUCGAAGCCCACCUCCAGAACAAACUACAGAUAAUGGAAUACCUUUAGUUGCAACUGAAAGAGCACCAUCCAUCAAGAGACAUGACAGUUUUGAAAUGGAAUUGCCCAACCUUCCGAAAGUUGACAUCCAUCCCAUACAACGGCAAUCUUCAAAGAAUGCAGGACCUGACUCGCCUAUAUCUCCUCUUUUGACUUCUGAUCCAAAAAAUGAGCGUUCACAUUCACAAACUUUUAGUAGACCACAGAGUGAACGGGAUGAUACAAGUUCUGAACAAAGUGAACCUGAUGAAUUGCAACAUCACAAGCCACCAUCAUUUUGGAGACUGGCAGCACUUAGCAUUGCUGAAUGGCCUUAUGCUCUCUUAGGCACAAUUGGUGCUGCUAUAUUUGGCUCAUUUAAUCCACUGCUUGCUUACACAAUAGCACUUACAGUGUCGGCAUAUUAUCAAAUAGAAGUUAGUGACAUGCGCCAUGAAGUGAACAGGUGGUGUUUAUUCAUAGUAGGAAUGGGUGUUAUUACAGUGCUGGUCAACUGGUUGCAACAUUUCUAUUUUGGAAUUAUGGGGGAGAAGAUGACUGAACGUAUAAGAAGAAUGAUGUUCUCCGCAAUGCUGCGCAAUGAGGCUGGAUGGUUUGACAAAGAGGAGAACAGUGCUGAUACACUAUCCAUGCGCCUGGCAAACGAUGCUACAUUUGUCCGUGCUGCAUUCAGUAACCGUCUUUCCAUAUUCAUACAAGACACUGCUGCGAUUUCUGUAGCUCUUCUCAUUGGAAUGUUGUUGGGAUGGCGUGUGGCGCUUGUUGCACUUGCAACUUUACCUGUUCUUGUUAUCUCUGCCAUUGCACAGAAAUUAUGGCUUGCUGGCUUCUCAAAAGGAAUCCAGGAGAUGCAUAGAAAGGCUUCAUUAGUACUUGAAGAUGCAGUCCGUAACAUUUACACCGUUGUUGCUUUUUGUGCUGGAGACAAGAUAAUGGAACUCUACAAAUUACACCUUUGUAAGAUACUGAAGCAAAGUCUUGUGCACGGGUUGGCUAUAGGCUUCGGUUUUGGUUUCUCGCAGUUUCUUCUUUUUGCCUGCAACGCCCUCCUUCUGUGGUACAUUGCCACCUCAGUGGACAAGCAGCGCCUGACAAUAGCCACUGGGCUAAAACAGUACAUUCUGUUCUCAUUUGCAUCAUUUGCAUUGGUGGAGCCCUUUGGACUUGCUCCAUACAUACUUAAGCGGCGGAAGUCUCUCACUUCAGUGUUUGAAAUUAUUGACCGAGAGCCAAAGAUUGAUCCUGAUGACAACACUGGCCUGAAACCACCCAAUGUCUAUGGGAGCAUUGAAUUCAAGAAUGUUGAUUUCUCCUAUCCAGUUCGCCCAGAAAUCUUUGUGCUGAGCAAUUUUAAUCUUAAGGUGAGUGGUGGGCAAACAGUUGCAGUGGUAGGUGUUUCAGGAUCCGGGAAGAGCACUAUCAUUUCGUUAAUUGAGAGAUUUUAUGACCCAAUGUCUGGCCAAGUUCUGCUGGAUGGCCGAGAUCUGAAAUCGUUCAACCUGAGAUGGUUACGAAGCCACAUGGGCCUAAUUCAGCAAGAGCCCGUCAUUUUCUCGACAACAAUAAGGGAGAACAUUAUAUAUGCAAGGCACAACGCAACGGAGGCUGAGAUGAAGGAAGCUGCAAGGAUAGCAAAUGCUCAUCAUUUCAUUAGUAGCUUGCCACAUGGCUAUGACACUCAUGUGGGAAUGCGAGGGGUUGAUCUGACACCUGGGCAGAAGCAACGUAUUGCCAUUGCUAGAGUGGUUUUGAAGAAUGCGCCGAUAUUGCUGUUGGACGAGGCCAGCUCUGCGAUCGAGUCUGAAUCAAGUAGAGUGGUACAGGAAGCUCUUGACACAUUGGUCAUGGGGAACAAGACGACGGUCCUGAUAGCGCACAGGGCAGCGAUGAUGAAGCAUGUGGAUAACAUUGUUGUCCUAAAUGGUGGUAGGAUAGUUGAGCAGGGCACACAUGACUCUCUGAUGGACCUGAACGGUCUCUAUGUUAGAUUGAUGCAGCCCCAUUUUGCCAAGGGCCUUCGCCAGCAUCGGCUAGGCUAG
rnacentral:rRNA from 1 species